rnacentral:rRNA from 1 species
AACGAACGCUGGCGGCAUGCCUAACACAUGCAAGUCGAACGGUGCCUUCGGGCACAGUGGCGCACGGGUGAGUAACACGUGGGAACCUGCCUUUCGGUUCGGAAUAACGUUUGGAAACGAACGCUAACACCGGAUACGCCCUUCGGGGGAAAGUUGACGCCGAGAGAGGGGCCCGCGUCGGAUUAGGUAGUUGGGGAGGUAACGGCUCACCAAGCCGACGAUACGUAGCUGGUCUGAGAGGAUGAUCAGCCACACUGGGACUGAGACACGGCCCAGACUCCUACGGGAGGCAGCAGUGGGUAAUAUUGGACAAUGGGCGCAAGCCUGAUCCAGCAAUGCCGCGUGAGUGAUGAAGGCCUUAGGGUUGUAAAGCUCUUUCGCACGCGACGAUGAUGACGGUAGCGUGAGAAGAAGCCCCGGCUAACUUCGUGCCAGCCGCCGCCGUAA